rnacentral:tRNA from 1 species
GCCCGAGUAGCUCAGCCCGGUAGAGCAACUGGCUUCUGACCAGGUGGUCGGGAGUUCGAGUCUCCCCUUGGGCG